rnacentral:tRNA from 1 species
ACCUGGGUGGCUCAGUCGGUUAAGUGACUGACUUCCGCUCAGGUCAUGAUCUCGCAGUUCGUGGGUUCAAGCCCCACAUCAGGCU